GCCCGCUUGGCACAGUGGUAAUGCGUCUCACUCGUAAGGCUCUUACUUGUGACAUGAGAAGAUCACUGGUUCGAUUCCAGUAGUGGUGUG